UCGACUUCUGGGAAUUUUUUCAAGACUGCAGACAACUCACUAAGAGAAAAGAAAAACUCUCUCGGCUCUCCCUUUAUUCACACUCACACAACACAACACACCAACACAAACACACGCAUCACUCAAUUCUUUUUCUCUCCUGGCUCUCACGCACACCCAUCUUCGGAGCAAAGAAAGGUGAAAGAAGGAAGUAAAGACAGCAAGCGAAUAAAUGGUUGAAACUUAAGGAUUUCUCCAAAAUUUUAACCAAGGAACUACAAUUUUCAUUGAGGUUUUGGUUGUUGUUGUGCUGUCUGGACAUCGGGCAAAUCAUAGAACAAGAUUAA